rnacentral:rRNA from 1 species
GACGAACGCUGGCGGCGUGCUUAACACAUGCAAGUCGAACGAAGAGCGAUGGAAGCUUGCUUCUAUCAAUCUUAGUGGCGAACGGGUGAGUAACGCGUAAUCAACCUGCCCUUCAGAGGGGGACAACAGUUGGAAACGACUGCUAAUACCGUAUACGAUCUAAUCUCGGCAUCGAGGAUAGAUGAAAGGUGGCCUCUACAUGUAAGCUAUCACUGAAGGAGGGGAUUGCGUCUGAUUAGCUAGUUGGAGGGGUAACGGCCCACCAAGGCGAUGAUCAGUAGCCGGUCUGAGAGGAUGAACGGCCACAUUGGGACUGAGACACGGCCCAGACUCCUACGGGAGGCAGCAGUGGGGAAUCUGCCGCAAUGGACGAAAGUCUGACGGAGCAACGCCGCGUGAGUGAUGACGGCCUUCGGGUUGUAAAGCUCUGUUAAUCGGGACGAAAGGCCUUCUUGCGAAUAGUGAGAAGGAUUGACGGUACCGGAAUAGAAAGCCACGGCUAACUACG